ACUCCUACGGGAGGCAGCAGUGGGGAAUAUUGCGCAAUGGGCGAAAGCCUGACGCAGCGACGCCGCGUGAGGGAUGAAGGCCUUCGGGUCGUAAACCUCUUUCAGCAGGGAAGAAGCGAAAGUGACGGUACCUGCAGAAGAAGCACCGGCUAACUACGUGCCAGCAGCCGCGGUAAUACGUAGGGUGCAAGCGUUGUCCGGAAUUAUUGGGCGUAAAGAGCUCGUAGGCGGUCUGUCGCGUCUGGUGUGAAAACUCAGGGCUUAACCCUGAGCUUGCAUCGGGUACGGGCAGACUAGAGUGUGCUAGGGGAGACUGGAAUUCCUGGUGUAGCGGUGAAAUGCGCAGAUAUCAGGAGGAACACCGGUGGCGAAGGCGGGUCUCUGGGGCAUAACUGACGCUGAGGAGCGAAAGCAUGGGGAGCGAACAGGAUUAGAUACCCUGGUAGUCCAUGCCGUAAACGUUGGGCGCUAGGUGUGGGGCUCAUUCCACGAGUUCCGUGCCGCAGCAAACGCAUUAAGCGCCCCGCCUGGGGAGUACGGCCGCAAGGCUAAAACUCAAAGGAAUUGACGGGGGCCCGCACAAGCGGCGGAGCAUGCGGAUUAAUUCGAUGCAACGCGAAGAACCUUACCAAGGCUUGACAUGGGGUGAAAACUCGCAGAGAUGCGGGGUCCGCAAGGGCGCCUCACAGGUGGUGCAUGGUUGUCGUCAGCUCGUGUCGUGAGAUGUUGGGUUAAGUCCCGCAACGAGCGCAACCCUCGUUCUAUGUUGCCAGCACGUAAUGGUGGGGACUCAUAGGAGACUGCCGGGGUCAACUCGGA
rnacentral:rRNA from 1 species